rnacentral:rRNA from 1 species
CAGCACGGACUUCGGUCUGGUGGCGAGUGGCGAACGGGUGAGUAAUGUAUCGGAACGUGCCCAGUAGCGGGGGAUAACUACGCGAAAGCGUAGCUAAUACCGCAUACGCCCUACGGGGGAAAGCAGGGGAUCGUAAGACCUUGCACUAUUGGAGCGGCCGAUAUCGGAUUAGCUAGUUGGUGGGGUAACGGCUCACCAAGGCGACGAUCCGUAGCUGGUUUGAGAGGACGACCAGCCACACUGGGACUGAGACACGGCCCAGACUCCUACGGGAGGCAGCAGUGGGGAAUUUUGGACAAUGGGGGAAACCCUGAUCCAGCCAUCCCGCGUGUGCGAUGAAGGCCUUCGGGUUGUAAAGCACUUUUGGCAGGAAAGAAACGUCAUGGGUUAAUACCCCGUGAAACUGACGGUACCUGCAGAAUAAGCACCGGCUAACUACGUGCCAGCAGCCGCGGUAAUACGUAGGGUGCAAGCGUUAAUCGGAAUUACUGGGCGUAAAGCGUGCGCAGGCGGUUCGGAAAGAAAGAUGUGAAAUCCCAGAGCUUAACUUUGGAACUGCAUUUUCAACUACCGGGCUAGAGUGUGUCAGAGGGAGGUGGA